rnacentral:sRNA from 1 species
UUGGAGUUGUUUCGUAGCGCGCUGCGCUC